UAAAGAAGUUUAGGUUAAACUUUUAAACCAGGGGCCUUCAAAGCUCCCAAUAAGGACUUACCCCCUUAACUUCUG
rnacentral:tRNA from 1 species